CACGUAGGGUGCGAGCGUUGUCCGGAAUUAUUGGGCGUAAAGAGCGUGUAGGCGGCCAGGUAGGUCUGCUGUGAAAACUCGAGGCUCAACCUCGAGACGUCGGCGGAAACCAUCUGGCUAGAGUCCGGAAGAGGAGAGUGGAAUUCCUGGUGUAGCGGUGAAAUGCGCAGAUAUCAGGAAGAACACCCGUGGCGAAGGCGGCUCUCUGGGACGGUACUGGACGCUGAGACGCGAAAAGCGUGGGGAGCGAACAGG
rnacentral:rRNA from 1 species